AGAACUUCCUGGGACUUGCCUCACACCCUGCUUUCACGCUCUAGGCUCCUUUCUUUCUCUGGUGAUAUUUCCUCCCAAUAACUCUGAGCUGGAGCAGCCCUGAGCUGGAGAGACUCUGAACUGGAGCAGCCCUGAGCUGGAGCAGCCCUAUGCUGGAGGGACCCUGAGCUGGAGCAGCCCUGUGCUGGAGGGACCCUGAGCUGGAGCAGCCCUGUGCUGGAGGGACCCUGAGCUGGAGCAGCCCUGUGCUGGAGGGACCCUGAGCUGGAGCAGCCCUGUGCUGGAGGGACCCUGAGCUGGAGCAGCCCUGUGCUGGAGGGACCCUGAGCUGGAGCAGCCCUGUGCUGGAGGGACCCUGAGCUGGAGCAGCCCUGUGCUGGAGGGACCCUGAGCUGGAGCAGCCCUGUGCUGGAGGGACCCUGAGCUGGAGCAGCCCUGUGCUGGGACCCUGAGCUGGAGCAGCCCUGAGCUGGAGAGACUCUGAAUUGGAGCAGCCCUGAGCUGGAGAGACUCUGAGCUGGAACAGCCCUAUGCUGGAGGGACCCUGAGCUGGAGCAGCCCUGUGCUGGAGGGACCCUGAGCUGGAGCAGCCCUGUGCUGGAGGGACCCUGAGCUGGAGCAGCCCUGUGCUGGAGGGACCCUGAGCUGGAGCAGCCUUGUGCUGGAGAGACCCCGAGCUGGAACAGCCCCGAGCUGGAACAGUCCCGAGCUGCCUCUCUUGUUAGGAGUGAGCUGGUUUAUCUGUGGGUCACGGAGGUGUACUGAGCUCCAUCUGCAGAUCAGUUAAUCGCUAACAAAUGUGGGCGAGUUUUCACCCAGCACAGACCACAGGCCGUGUCUCAGACGCUUUGCCAAGCCAUUUUGGAGCUGUAAGCAACUGGCCUGCUUCCAAGCUGAAUCUGUUCUGGCACACAGAGGCCAUGAGCCUGUGAAGCUCUGACUCUGGCACUGGGAUUGGGUUCGUGAGGAAUCAUGAGCCAUGAGAUGGCCUCCAGUCGGUCAGCAGGGCAGGAAGGGACUAGGACUCAGGAUUAGGGGCCGAGUCAUCACUGACCUUCACAGCGACCUCUGCACUGGCAGAGGUGGGAAGUGGGGUUUUCAGAACGCCUGCUUCGGUUGCUGGGCACUCUGCUUGGUUAGAGAGAUGGUGGUAAGUUUGUCUGCCUCCAUUUCCAAGUGGGCCGUCACAGGCAUAACGGGGUUGGAGAUACCAACAGACCAAAGAAGAAAAGCAACAGCUCGGUUAUCACUAAGCCUUUCCAUGGCUCACUGAUGAGGACGUGAGAAGUUGGUAACCCACACCCCACAGUGACAGGGACUCCCUUUCAGACACUGCCAUGAGUUGUCACGACAGCAGCAGUGGUGACUGUGACACCGUGUCGUCACUUCCUGGUGUCCCACACGCUGGCUGCCCUCACUCCCCUUCCCCUGCCUGCUCGUGGGAUGCAGCGGAUCAGGUGGGCAGGUGGUAGGAGUCAGUUCAAGAGGGUGAACACGACCCUGGAGCUGGAGGGGCAGGAACAAUAUCCUGGGGCAGGCGUGGCCGAGUGUCCCUUAGCUGAGGGACAGUUUCCUGUUUCCUGUCCUUUACGGUGAGCUCCUCCCGGGCAGUGGAAGCAGAUGAGCAUCUGCUGAGGUGUGAGAAGACGCUCUGGAAGAUGAGAGGUAUGCCUAGCCAAAGGCUGCCAUGUGCCCUGUGCUCCCUGCAUGCCGCCAUGUGUCCUGGGAUACUGUCAUGUGUCCUGUGUUCUCAGAUGUCAUAUUGCCUGUGUUCCCUGGAUGCCGCCAUGUGCCCUGUGCUCCCUGGAUGUGCCAAGCUCAUGAGUGACAGUUAUUUUUUAUAAGCCAGAAAACCCCUCCGAGUGUGACCUUUAAGUUACUAAAUCAUUAUUCAAGCCUUCAGACUGACUCCCUGUGGAUACAGUUUCAUAGUCGCACUACUUUUUGACAAGAUUUGUUAGCUACACUUAGCCUCAUAAACAGAGCCACUGGGAACCUUGCAGCCACCCCACUGAGUGACACCCUCACAGUGACGAGCAGAGCCCAAACAAUGUCCUGGUGGCAUUGUAAAUGUCCCUAAAUCCUCCUGCCCACGAAUGCUCAUCUCUGGCUUGUUCAGUCCCAUGAUUUGACAGGAGGUUAACAUGGGACAAACAAACCAAUAGACACCCCCCCCCCAAACAGGACAUAAAGAACUAUAGGUAGCAGUGGGCUCUCUAGAAGGGCCAACUGAGAGACCCCCAAACCAAGAUAUAAAGAACAGAGGUGGCGGUGAUCAACUCCAGCUGGGUACAGCUUUGGGGACUUUCCUCCCCAGGGAGCAUCCACUAAGAGAUGUUACCUCCCCCUACUGAAAUGUGCAGGUUCAGGGGUUCUUGGUCCCUAAACAUAUUCUUGUAUCUGAUGUACUUACUUCAACAGACUGAAUUCUGGGUUAAAUGGAGUUCCCUGUCCUGGAAGUGCCCACCCUGAGGGAGGCACAGGCAGGGGACAGAAGGGAGAGGAGAAACGAAAGCCAGGAUCAGAGUAAAGCUGCUGUUGCCGGGCACUCUUUAGAAAUGUCUAAGCCGUUCUUGCUUCCCGGCUUGCUCUAAUUGGGCUUUUGACUGCUUGCUUUACCUCUGUGUCCCAUCUGAAUUCUCUUUCGAAAGUAGAAGAAUGGAGACAGCUGAUGGGGUCGAGACCAGAGGAAACCAGAGACCUCCCCAUAACACACAGCCUGGUAUGCCACCUUCCCAUGGUCCUGUGGGGGUGGAUUUCUUUCUAACAUCAAAACCUCUAACUUCUGCCUGACAAAGGACAACGCCCACGAGGAGAAGGUAGAACUGCCCAGUCCCAGCCUAACAAGGGAGGGAUGUAAUAGUUUGCAAGGCAACAAGAAAAAGACCUAUCCAUCGAUAAAAAACUGGAUAAAGGAUAUGAAUGGGUAGCCUACAAAUAAGAAAUGCAAACAACCAAUAAGCAUAAGAAAAGAUGAAAAUGUGCUUUUUAAUUAGACAAGUGAAAAUGGCUAUUAGUGGCGCUUAUCAGAUUGGCAAGGCAAAGCGUGCCAGGCUGAGAGUAAACAGACGUUCCCGGGGGUCCUAGCUAAACAGGUACAGACGUUCUGACAGGCACUUGGCAGGAGCUACCAAACUGUAGCGAGAACGUUCUGCCUUUCUCGUAAAUCAGCAUCCAGGCAGAAAAAA
rnacentral:lncRNA from 1 species